AGGAUGUCCCCCUAGGCAGAAGGAAUCAUGUCAUGAGAACCAAAAGUGCUUACGUGGUUGCAGAAUUAGUUCUGAAAUAAUGAUCAGCCCAAUGAUGGCUUGACCAAGAUCGUCUAUUCUGCCAGUUAUGUAAACCUCCCAGCUAUACAAACUUCCAGCCCUUGCCUUUCCCCUGUUUUCUAUGAAACCUCAAAGUUCCUGUGAAUACUUUGAAGAUAGAUUAAUUAAUGAAUCUCUUUAUCUAUUCUUUCAGGCAUGGCCACCCGAUGAAAGUGCCCUUUUCUGCCCCUUUGGCACUUUGGGACAGGUAGACAAGCCUGGUCUGUUGGGACCCCAGGAACUAGAAGGAAGGGGUCUUAUUUGCUGAUUAUUGUGCAAAUCAUCUUAAACACAAAACCAGUAAGACCAGUGCUCAUGGCUAAUCUGCACAUGGCCAACAUCUGUGAUUUGUUCCACCGCCUGAACUCAUCCUUGCAACCACCUGCAAAUUCAAACCACCGAUCAUGAGGUGAGCUAAGUGUGUGGAUAAACGGCAAGUUCGUUCCAUCCUGUAAAUCUAUCAGGGAAAAUUAUGCUGUUUGAAAGUCUUGAUAAUCUAUAAGAGUUAGGUCACUCUUUUUACAAACAAAAGGUAGUUUAUUUUGAUGAAGUAACAAGGUCAAUAGUUUCUGAAAUUCUAUGAUUCCCCUAGACUGGUGUGACUGGAUGUUUAUUGGUCAGGCUUCUGCAUUACCAAAACCAGAAUUCAUUCUGGUUAGUUUAAGCUGGAAAAAGGUUUAUUCAAGAAUGCCAGGUAGAUCACAGAAACUCAAAGAGGAUCAGAGAAUAGGCUCUGACCCUCGCAGGAAUAAUGCUUAGCCACCCCACAGAAUAUGGGUGAAAUUGCAUUGUCACUAUUGUUUUUAUGUGUAAGAAAACUGGAAUGGACACCAGCAGCACUGCCAGUGCUGAUCUUGAAGAUCUAGAUUCCUCCAUCAUCACACCAGUUUCUCUCCAUGUAGAUAGUUCCUUAGGUUGUUCAUUUUCUGACCCAAACUCUCACAAGAUGAACUAAUUAGUACAAUGCAGGUAGCCCUACCAGCAAGGGACUCUAGCUACGCAAGAGUUCUAACUUCUGCUUUGGUAAAAUGCAACUUAUAAUGUGGACUAUCAGCAAAAGGUAAAAAACAUUUCAUAAAAGUUAAAACUAUAUGUAUUUCAAAUAACAUUACCAAGAAAGAGAAGACCACUCACAAGAAGAAAGCUUUGCAAGUCAUAUAGGUGACAAGAGACUUGUAUUUCUUCCACUUAAAGAAAUUUGAUGACUGAGCAAUGAAAAGACAAAUAACCAAACUAAAAUGGGCGUGGGUUUAGAAUAGACAUUUUUCUAAAGAAGAUACACAAAUGGCCAACAAACAGAUAAAAGAUGCUCGAUAUCGCAGUAGGGAAAUGCAAAUCAAAACCACAUGGAAAUGCAAUUAUGUACUCACUAGCACGGUUGCAGUAAAAAAGACAGACAAAUAACAGGUGCUGGUAAGGAUAUGGAAAAAGAUGGAACCCUUAUACAUUGCUGUUAGAAAUGUAACUUGGCACAGCCCCUUUGGGAAGCCAUUUGGUAGUUCUGUAAAAGGUUAAGCAUACAGUUAGCUAUCACCUGGAAAUUUACUCCUAAAUAUGCAUUCAAGAGAACCCAAGCAUAAGUCUACCCAAGUAUUUUAUAUGUGGGUUCACAAUAACAUUAUUAAAAAUAGGUAAAAAGUUGAAAUAUUAAAGAUGUCUGUCAAUUUAUAAAUGGAUAAACAAAAUAUGUUUAUGGAAUGGAAUAUUAUUUGGUCAUAAAAAGACCUGAAAUAUUGAUACACACUACGAUAUAGAUGAACUUUGAUGACAUUAUGCUAAGUGAAAGAAGCCAGUCACAAGGGGC
rnacentral:lncRNA from 1 species